UACAGAGGAUGCAAGCGUUAUCCGGAAUGAUUGGGCCUAAAGCAUCCGUAGCCGGUUCUGCAAGUCCCCCGUUAAAUCCAGCUGCUCAACAGAUGGGCCGCGGAGGAUACUACAGAGCUAGGAGGCAGGAGAGGCAAGCGGUACUCAGUGGGUAGGGGUAAAAUCCGUUGAUCCAUUGAAGACCACCAGUGGCGAAGGCGGCUUGCCAGAAUGCGCUCGACGGUGAGGGAUGAAAGCUGGGGGAGCAAACCGG
rnacentral:rRNA from 1 species